UGGCGAUAAUUAACCAAAUCAAAUCCUCCUUUUUAGAGCCCAUCCAUACUGCGUAUCCCACUGUAUAACAGAUGUAAUCCCUUUUAUGCCUGCAGCUGAUCCAACAAGUGUGCUGUACUGCGCUCCGACUACUGCUGACAUGCACAUACAGUACGGAGGUCACCGUGAGCCACACCGACCUUGCAGGCUGUAGGCGCCAUCUCUGAACUCCAGCGUGAAGUAGUCGUAGGAGGAGCGGUUGGAGUCCAGGGUCCCAGUCACCUUCCUGCAGCCGAUGAAGCCGUGCUCGCCGCGCAGCACGAUGAUGGGACGGUUGAUGAGCUUCAUGAUGAACUCCUCAGACUCGCCUGCGACGGAGAUGCAACACAAGAGAGGAAAUUGUGGUCCAAGUGUGGACGGCAACAAGAGAACAAAAGCUGGCGAGUGCAUUGAUGGAAUGUGGCUGCGGGGAGGCGGUUGUCUCUUUUGUCUUAUCUCAAGAUGACAACACCUUGGAGAGGGUCCAUAAAGGGAUGCUUGAAGGAUUUUGGUGUGGAAAAAUCUGCAGAGAACCGUGACCUCAACCCCAUCAAACACAUUUGGGAUGAACUACAGACAUGCCUCCGGGAGCCCCAGCCUGCCACCUACUGGCGACAACUGCAAACUGCACCGCUUCCAGCGUCUGUGUGGAGAAUGGAUUUCACGCCACAUCUAUGCUAAUUGUGCGCCCUUGUGCGACAAAGAGAGCUCCCUUUAAGAACCUAAGCAGCAGCUGGGGGGCUGUGCCAGCGUCUUAUUCCAAAGACCCCCUUUGGAACCUCUCAACGACUUGAUGGGAGACAUGCAUGUAUGCAAAUUACUGACAAAUCCUUACCAAUAAGCAAUCAUUUCAACACGUAUGCAACAUUUUUGUUGUUUAGGCUCCAAGUUCAUUGAUUUGAAAGUGUUCUUUUGUUCUGCUGGUGUGAAUAAUUGAUGACUGUGAACCUUUUAAUGGUAAAAGAGCAUGUGUGUGACGGACACGCACCAUCUGCCAACACACACGCUGUUAAAAGAAAAAGUAUGGGACGCGCAAUCACUUUAAGAGCGGAAAGUGGCGGCCUUAUAAAUGCAGUAAAAACAGACAACGCAGCAAAAAUUGAACUAUAUCUUCUCAAGGGACAAUACGCAAUCAUGCUCUGCUUCACAAUGUCACCCUUAACCGCAGCUCACCACUGCCAGCAGCACUUGAGCCUUCUCAACUAUUUAGACAAUAAUGGCUGUGUGUUGAGUCACUUUCAGUGGAUAGUAAAGCUUUACUGCUAUUCAAGCUGUACGCUGACUACUCUUAAGUAUAUCCAAGUUUCAUUUCUAUAGUAUUAUCCCUUGAAAAGGUAUACUGUCAAACAAAUGCUUGGUGAAAUGUGACAUUUGUGAGAUACUAUGAUGUACAGUCGUCCCUCACCACUUGGUGCUUCGAAUUUUGCGGCUUCGCUCUAUCUCGUGUUUUCAAAAAUAUACUGUAUGAAUUAAUAAAUCAUGCUGUUUUGUAUUUAGAGAUGGCCUGUUGUUAGUCAAAAAAUAUGCAUAUUUAAGCACAUGUUACAUAUUUUUGCCUAAAUUAAGUCAUUCCAAGCAUAAAAAUGGCUACCUGAAGUAAAAUACAAAUAUAAGGCAUUCAGAAGACGCAUUCAAAGAUGAUAUGUAGUAUUCCACAAUGGUCACUUGUUGUCGGUACUGUUACUGGAAAGUUUGGUGAGACACACGAGCACCAGACUUGAUGGCCGCAGCAACAAACUACCGUAUGAUUGCAAGUUUCAAUGAUCUCACAACAGGCACAAUAAUCCCCAACACAGGCUACUGUUGUGGCCGUAACCCCCGCCCGGCUAAAACUCAACUCUGAACCCUUGACAUCACUUCCUGUCCACCCUCCAUUCACACAACCGCAACACAUUUAGUAGCAUUACUUUUAUAUAUUUCUCUUUUUUUCUUAUUAUGUCUACUAUGUUGGGGAAUAUGAGUGUAAAGGUGACUCUGGGGGUGUUGUUUCAUGUCUAGAGGGCUCUAACAAUGUUAAAACCGUAUUUAGAAGGUUGUAAACAGAUUUUCUGUGCUCUAACUAUGAAAAUAUUCCAUUUGUAAAUAAGAAAGCCUUCUUUGCGGAAAUUCACUUAUAAUGGUCAAGUCUGGAACCAACAGUUACAUUUAUAGUUAAAGUCAUGUAGCACCCACUUGUAUGGACUCUGUUACAAGUCAAAUAAAGUAUAACUUUAAUUCAUAAAAACACCAUCAUUCCCA